rnacentral:tRNA from 1 species
UGGCUUAGUGGGUAAAGUGCUUGCUUUGCAUGCAAGAAGACCUGGGUUUGAUCCCCAG